rnacentral:rRNA from 1 species
UGGGGAAUCUUGCACAAUGGGCGAAAGCCUGAUGCAGCGACGCCGCGUGCGGGAUGAAGGCCUUCGGGUUGUAAACCGCUUUCAGCAGGGACGAAAUUGACGGUACCUGCAGAAGAAGCCCCGGCCAACUACGUGCCAGCAGCCGCGGUAAUACGUAGGGGGCGAGCGUUGUCCGGAUUUAUUGGGCGUAAAGAGCUCGUAGGCGGUUUGGUAAGUCGGGUGUGAAAUCUCCACGCUCAACGUGGAGGGGCCACUCGAUACUGCCCUGACUAGAGUCCGGUAGAGGAGUAUGGAAUUCCCGGUGUAGCGGUGAAAUGCGCAGAUAUCGGGAGGAACACCAGUAGCGAAGGCGGUACUCUGGGCCGGAACUGACGCUGAGGAGCGAAAGCGUGGGGAGCAAACAG